GAAGAAAAAAAAAAGUAGGAGGAACUUUGCUAAAAUAGUGACAGUUCCUGUUUCUGGUUGAAAUUUUAGAGACUUUCUGCUUCAAACUUGUACUGAACAGAUUUUAUACGAUUAGAAUAUAUUUUCUAAUAGAAAAUGUUUUUCUCUUUUUUAGUUGUGGAAAUAGUACAGAGGGGUCCUGUACCCUUCGCCCAGUUUCCCCCAAUGGGAACAUUGACACAACUAAUGCAACAUCAAAGCAGGAAGUGGACUUUGGUACAACCACGGAUCUUAUUCAGGAGCUGUGUCCUUGGAUUGCAUUGCGGGGACUUCCUGUAGAAGGUCUUUAAUUGCCAAACACGGAGGCAGAGCCUUCUCCUUCACAAGGUGGCACGGGGCUGCCAGGGAAUUCGUGUUCCCAGGCCAGUGGGUGACUCUGUGGCCCUGCCAUUCGGGAUUGAGGCUCCUUCCAGUUCAUUUCUCUGCGUUGAAGGCAGCAGUUCUCAAAAUGGUUCCUACGCCAGGAGGAACUUGGAGCACAAAGCCCAGACGUGCAGAAACUGAUCUGUAACCAUGAGGACAGAAAGCAUAUGCUGACGGUGGUGGGGUAGAAAGAUGAGCGAGUCUGCAUCCUAGAUGACCCGGUGACGCCGGCGCCCCAUCCUGAGCUGGGACCUUUGGGCCUCUCAGCACGU